rnacentral:rRNA from 1 species
GACGAACGCUGGCGGCGUGCCUAAUACAUGCAAGUAGAACGCACAGUUUAUACCGUAGCUUGCUACACCAUAGACUGUGAGUUGCGAACGGGUGAGUAACGCGUAGGUAACCUGCCUGGUAGCGGGGGAUAACUAUUGGAAACGAUAGCUAAUACCGCAUAAUAUUAAUUAUUGCAUGAUAAUUGAUUGAAAGGUGCAAAUGCAUCACUACCAGAUGGACCUGCGUUGUAUUAGCUAGUAGGUGAGGUAACGGCUCACCUAGGCGACGAUACAUAGCCGACCUGAGAGGGUGAUCGGCCACACUGGGACUGAGACACGGCCCAGACUCCUACGGGAGGCAGCAGUAGGGAAUCUUCGGCAAUGGACGAAAGUCUGACCGAGCAACGCCGCGUGAGUGAAGAAGGUUUUCGGAUCGUAAAGCUCUGUUGUAAGAGAAGAACGGGUGUGAGAGUGGAAAGUUCACACUGUG